rnacentral:piRNA from 1 species
UGACUGACCUCAGGGGCUGCGAGACCCUCGUU